GACGAACGCUGGCGGCGUGCUUAACACAUGCAAGUCGAACGAAGUGGCGAACGGGUGAGUAACGCGUAAUCAACCUGCCCUUCAGAGGGGGACAACAGUUGGAAACGACUGCUAAUACCGCAUACUGAAGGAGGGGAUUGCGUCGGAUUAGCUAGUUGGAGGGGUAACGGCCCUCCAAGGCGAUGGUCAGUAGCCGGGCUGAGGUGAUGAACGGCCACAUUGGGGCCUGGACAAGGCCCAGACUCCUACGGGAGGCAGCAGGGGGGAAUCUUCCGCAAUGGAGGAAAGUCUGACGGAGCAACGCCGCGUGGGUGAUGACGGCCUUCGGGUUGUAAAGCUCUGUUAAUCGGGACGCGGUACCGGAAUAGAAAGCCACGGCUAACUACGUGCCAGCAGCCGCGGUAAUUC
rnacentral:rRNA from 1 species